rnacentral:rRNA from 1 species
AGAGGCCAAACCGAAGGACCUGGUUCUUCGGGGUUGUGGACUGCAUCAAGCGAUGGAGGCUAUGGUAGUCGAACUGUUUUGGGAAAGCAGACCAAAGACGGUGAAAGUCCGGUAGACGAAACCAGAAGACCCGCUGCAGGAUCCAGAGUACCACGGGACACGAGAAACCCUGUGGGAAGCCGGGGGGACCACCCCCCAAGCCUAAAUACUCCCCAGUGACCGAUAGUGAAGCAGUACUGUGAAGGAAAGGUGAAAAGAACCCCGGGAGGGGAGUGAAAAAGAACCUGAAACCUUGUGCUUACAAACAGUCAGAGGUCUACGGACUGAUGGCGUACUUUUUGUAGAACGGUCCGGCGAGUUACUAAUGCCAGCGAGGUUAAGUGGUCAGAAGCCACGGAGCCGAAGGGAAACCAAGUCUGAACAGGGCGUAAAGUUAGUAUUAGUAGACCCGAAACCGGGUGACCUAUCCAUGUCCAGGUUGAAGGAGCCGUAAAAGGCUUUGGAGGACCGAACACACAUCUGUUGAAAAAGGUGGUGAUGAGGUGUGGAUAGCGGAGAAAUUCCAAUCGAACUCGGAGAUAGCUGGUUCUCCUCGAAAUAGCUUUAGGGCUAGCCUCGAGAUGGAGUCUAACGGAGGUAAAGCACUGAACUGACGCGGGGCCCAAAAAGGUUACCAACUCAUAUCAAACUAAGAAUGCCGUCAAGAUACCCUCGGGAGUCAGUCUGCGUGAGAUAAGUCGCGUGGACAAAAGGGAAAGAGCCCAGACCGACAGCUAAGGUCCCAAAGUACGUGUUAAGUGGAAAAGGAUGUGGGAUUUCAUAGACAACUAGGAUGUUGGCUUAGAAGCAGCCAUACAUUUAAAGAGUGCGUAACAGCUCACUAGUCGAGAAAACCUGCGCCGAAAAUUUAACGGGGCUAAAACACGACACCGAAGCUACGGCUUGACAGCUAACGCUGUUAGGGGUAGAGGAGCAUCCUGCAAGGACGAAGCCAAAGUGGAAACGAUGGUGGACGAAACAGGAGAGAGAAUGCCGGAAUGAGUAGCGAGAUAGAAGUAAGAAACUUCUAGGCCGAAUAUCUAAGGUUUCCUGGGUAAAGCUAAUCUUCCCAGGGUUAGUCGGGGCCUAAGGCGAGGACGAAAGUCGUAGUCGAUGGAUAACAGGUUGAUAUUCCUGUACUACGUAUCAUCAGAACUGUGGGGACGCAGGAGGAUAGGAAAACCGGGGAAUGGAAAAACCCGGCUAAGCACAAAGUCGAGGGAGAUAGGCAAAUCCGUCUCUUGAUGAUGAAGUGCGAUGGGGACUGAACAAAAGUAGGGAAGUUUCCGAAUCCACACUGUCGAGAAAAGCCGCUAUUGUGUGAUACGUACCCGUACCGUAAACCGACACAGGUAGAUGAGGAGAAAAUCCACAGGCCGACGGGAGAAGUGUUGUUAAGGAACUCGGCAAAAUGACCCCGUAACUUAGGGAGAAGGGGAGCCACGCAAGUGGCCGCAGAAAAGAGGCUCAAGCGACUGUUUAGCAAAAACACAGGUCUCUGCGAAACCGAAAGGUGAAGUAUAGGGGCUGACACCUGCCCGGUGCUGGAAGGUUAAAAGGAGAGGUUCGACGUAAGUCAAAGCUUUGAAUUCAAGCCCCAGUAAACGGCGGCCGUAACUAUAACGGUCCUAAGGUAGCGAAAUUCCUUGUCAGGUAAGUUCUGACCCGCACGAAAGGUGUAACGAUUUGAGCACUGUCUCGACAACACGCCCGGUGAAAUUGAAGAACCAGUGAAGAUACUGGUUACCCGCAACAGGACGGAAAGACCCCAUGGAGCUUUACUGCAGCCUGAUACUGGGAUUCGAUGAUAUAUGUACAGGAUAGGAGGGAGACUAGGAAUCCGGGACGCCAGUUUCGGAGGAGUCGACGGUGGGAUACCUCUCUUAUGUUAUUGGAUUUCUAACUUGGCACCGUGAUCCGGUGUGAGGACAAUGUCAGGCGGGCAGUUUGACUGGGGCGGUCGCCUCCUAAAAGGUAACGGAGGCGCUCGAAGGUCACCUCAGAAUGAUUGGAAACCAUUCAAAGAGUGUAAAGGCAAAAGGUGGCUUGACUGCGACACCGACGGGUGGAGCAGGUACGAAAGU